rnacentral:rRNA from 1 species
CAGUAGCCACGGUAAUACGGAGGGAGCUAGCGUUGUUCGGAAUUACUGGGCGUAAAGCGCGCGUAGGCGGUUACUCAAGUCAGAGGUGAAAGCCCGGGGCUCAACCCCGGAACUGCCUUUGAAACUAGGUGACUAGAAUCUUGGAGAGGUCAGUGGAAUUCCGAGUGUAGAGGUGAAAUUCGUAGAUAUUCGGAAGAACACCAGUGGGGAAGGCGGCUCACUGGCCCGGUACUGACGCUGAGGUGCGAAAGCGUGGGGAGCAAACAGGAUUAGAUACCCGAGUAGUCCCUGUCUCUUAUAC